GAGAAUGGAGUAGUGCUGCGAUGAAUACACAAUAAAUGUGUUUAAUGUUUGAUGCAGUGAUCAUGAGCUAUCGCUCCACAAUUUAUACCUCUUUCUUUUUCUAUAUAAUUGUGGCAUUACUCAUGAACUACAAUGAUUCUUCGUUUCAAACCUAUCUACUUUGUUCAUAACUGAUGCAAUGACCAUGAGCAGUGCUCAUUUUAUUUUUUCUGUCUCUUUCUACCUGUUCAAUGACAACUGAGGCGAUGGUCAAUUGAUUGGUUCUAUUUUUUUUCAUGGUUUCUUUUGCAUCUCUCUACUAUAUAACUGUUCAGAGCUGACGCAGUGACCAUCAGCAGUGCUAAUUCUAUUUUUUGCAACUCUUUCUGCCUCUUCCAUGAUAACUGAGGCAAUGGUCAGUUGGUUGCUUCCAUUUCUUCCGUCUCUUUGUACCUAUUCUAUUUUAUGUACUUUGGAGACUUUCUGUUUCUUCUAUGAUAACUGAAACAAUGGUCAAUUGAUUGGUUUCAUUUUUCCCCUCUGUUUGUACCUAUUCUAUUUUGUGUACUCUGGAGCCACCAAUGGGACCUACUAUUUAUUGGGGUCGUCUCUUAAUUAUGAAAUUUCAGUUCGCAGGAGCCCGAACUGAAAUUUACACCUUCUAAUGUCAUUGUUUCUUAUGAUUUAUCCCUUUGCCUAAUAUAAUCAUUGCUUUUGCUUUUGCACUCAUACUUGCUUAUGAUCGUUGCUUGUGAUGUCAAUUGCACAAUUAAUAUAAUUGUGCAAUCUGAGCUUCUGCUUAUUGCCUGUGAAGUGAUAGAUAUGUUCUUCUUGAUCCUAGGCUUCUGAUCAUUUUCUAUGAUCGUUGCUUAUGACAUCAGCUCAUACACUAUUGGUUCUGAGCACACGCCCUAUCCCCAGAGACAGCAUUGUCAAACACUUUGCUUGUCUAUGAUGACUUCUGCUUUUCCUGUUUCUUUCUCGCUGCAACCAUGUCCACAUCCGAUAUAGUUUCAGCUUAAUAGAAUCAAUCUUUUCUAAUUUCCUGCUAGUUUCAUUAACUUUUUAUAAUACCAAUAUUAACUAUAGAUAACCUAUCCGUACAAAGUAUCUCAUUUAUCGACUUUGUGGAGAUUGAUUCUAAUGUGUUUUGGGGGCUAUUGUUGCAGUGGCAACAUUUCGAACCCCAAAAAAAAUGCUGGCUGUACCGGUUCAAGGUUGCGCAUUGUUGCCUUUGCUGCUUCCUACUAUAUAGAUUCAUCGACCGUGAGGCUUGCCGCUUUACAUAUUUGGCUGUUUGAGACCAAAUACAUUGCGCUGUCAUUGCUAUGCUACAAAUGGAAAUUUUAAAUUUAACAAAAAGAUUACGGAUUAUAUUUGUCACAUAAAUAAUAGUACGUUGCCCAAGUCAAAUCUAUAUUGUACAGGCUGUCGCAUGGUCUCUUUUACUAAUCUAUGAACUUUACCCAUAAAGGGCAGCAUCCAAUUGCUUUUUAAGCUAAAAUUAAAGUUUUUUCCUAAACUAAGCUUGCUUAGUUGGAUAGUUAGGAUGCAGUGCCAUAUCUAGGCUUGCUAGGGUGAGUACUCUCCUUUCUUUCAUAUCGCCAUAUCUAGAUUCUUUAUUCUUCAUGAUGCAUACAGUUUAGCUACAUGUACAGCUCUUGUUGUCUAGAAAUGACAUGUUAUAUUUUUUGAUCCCAUUAAUUCAUCUCUAGCAUCGUGUUGGCUUUGCAAAGAACAAUCCCUCCUGUGCUCUGGAUGAAUUGUAAAGGUAACAACACUAUUCUUAAUCAGGAAUACUUUACAUUUCCCUUCCUUAAUCAGGGAUGCCUUACAAUUUUUUUCCCUCCACAUAUUGUAAGUUUUGAUAAAUCUAUUACUUCACAUACCCAAUUAUUGCCUGCAAAUCUAUAGAAAGUCUAUUCAAAAUGUUGAUCCCUUAUAAAGCAACUAGCACCUACUUAGUAAGUUUCAGUGUAUGUUCUAAGAAGCAGUGCUUCCUCUGUUUCAAUACAUGUACAUAUAUACAGAUACAUGCAUGCAUAAGGAGAGAUAGAUAAAUGUAUAGAUAUAUCUUUAGAUAUAUGUAUGCAUUUACAUAAAUUUGUAGUAAAGAAUAUAGAUGUUUUUUUCCUCAAUAGACAGAUAUUGCAAAUUAAGGAUGGCUACUGGGCUGGCUUUAGUUGUUAUCACCUAUAUACUUUAAAUUUUGAUAUUCUUUUUUCCUUUGUUUUCGUUCCUUUAUUGUUUCUUCUUUUAGUUAAUUCUCAAUAAAAUUCUCCAUUCAAUUGAAUUGUGUAUUAUUGCACUUACAACUGUGUAUUAUGGUACAUAUACCUAUUUCUUCAUAGGCUUGCCCUUCAUCCCCUCCAUCUGAUUCCCGCUCUUCUCCUUGAUUUCUCAUGGAGGUGUGGACCGUCUGUGUAGGUAGUAGAUCUUUUUAAGUCCCGUGAGCAGAAGGGAUAUUAAUAUCUUCCUGAUUCGUCAUCGUCGAUCUGCCCAAAACUCCUUUGAUUGAACAAUCAAUUCACGGCUCCGUACCUUCUCCUCUAUCAGAUAGUUUAGACACCCUAGAGAAGCAGGGUUAGAAUCAUGCAGGGGAGAAGCAACUUUGGAACCAUCCAUGUUGGCAUAUCCGGAAGCGUGGUGAGGGACAUGGGAGUAUUUGCCUCUCUGUUUUGGUAUCUUAUAUGCUUCAACUUUGACAUCCAUCUGCCCAUCUGCAUCUAAAGACAGCUAUGGCUUGCAUGUUCUGAUCAAAGACUCGAAGAACCCAUCCAAACAAAGCAGAGGGUUUUAAACGAAUUGUGACAAUGUUCUAGUGCUCUCUACUGUGCCGAGCUGCUCUACAAGACUACAACAGUUGGAAGGCUGCUAGAAAGCUACUUGACUCAACAACUGCCGAGAAGUUUUUCCAACGAAAAGCAUAUCUCCCGCUAUUUAUCAUAAAAAACCAACAGCAUCACCAUGUUGCAGGCAGGCGAUCUAAUCACCGCAUUAUAUUCUACAACCACCAGAAGCUCCAAAGAAUUAGAGAUGUUAUGUAACUUACUAUCCGCUACAACAUCUAUAUGUCCAAUAACAUUGUACCCAGCUUACUUUUGCCUUGAUCAGACAUCAAAGUAAUGCCUACAUAUGUAAUUUAUUAGUACAUAAUAAAUUACAAAUAAAUGCUAAUAUCACUUGGUAGUUUAGCUUAAAAAGCUCAGGCGCGCCAAGGCGCACGCAAAGUACUCGUCUUAAUUUA